rnacentral:rRNA from 1 species
GAUGAACGCUGGCGGCGUGCCUAAUACAUGCAAGUCGAGCGAACGGACGAGAAGCUUGCUUCUCUGAUGUUAGCGGCGGACGGGUGAGUAACACGUGGAUAACCUACCUAUAAGACUGGGAUAACUUCGGGAAACCGGAGCUAAUACCGGAUAAUAUUUUGAACCGCAUGGUUCAAAAGUGAAAGACGGUCUUGCUGUCACUUAUAGAUGGAUCCGCGCUGCAUUAGCUAGUUGGUAAGGUAACGGCUUACCAAGGCAACGAUGCAUAGCCGACCUGAGAGGGUGAUCGGCCACACUGGAACUGAGACACGGUCCAGACUCCUACGGGAGGCAGCAGUAGGGAAUCUUCCGCAAUGGGCGAAAGCCUGACGGAGCCACGCCGCGUGAGUGAUGAAGGUCUUCGGGUCGUAAAACUCUUUUAUUAGGGAAGAACAUAUGUGUAAGUAACUGUGCACAUCUUGACGGUACCUAAUCAGAAAGCCACGGCUAACUACGUG